rnacentral:piRNA from 1 species
UAUAACUAAAUUCUAUUUUAA